rnacentral:rRNA from 1 species
CUACGGAGGGGGCGAGCGUUAUUCGGAAUCAUUGGGCGUAAAGGGCGCGUAGGCGGCCUGACAAGUCAGGGGUGAAAUCCCUCGGCUCAACCGAGGAACUGCCUCUGAAACUGUCAGGCUCGAGGCCGGGAGAGGGUAGUGGAAUUCCCAGUGUAGCGGUGAAAUGCGUAGAUAUUGGGAGGAACACCAGUGGCGAAGGCGGCUACCUGGACCGGUUCUGACGCUGAGGCGCGAAAGUGUGGGGAGCAAACAGGAUUAGAAACCCUAGUAGUCC